UACGUAGGGGGCGAGCGUUGUCCGGAGUCACUGGGCGUAAAGCGCACGCAGGCGGUCUGCUAAGUUUGGAGUGACAGUUGGUGGCUUAACUGCCAAAGUGCUUCGAAAACUGACAGACUUGAGGGCUUCAGAGGGACACGGAAUUCCGGGUGGAGUGGUGAAAUGCGUAGAGAUCCGGAGGAACACCAAAGGCGAAGGCAGUGUCCUGGGGAGUACCUGACGCUCAGGUGCGAAAGCCAGGGGAGCGAACGGG
rnacentral:rRNA from 1 species